CUUCACUACAACUUUGCAUUGAUUUUGAAUUUUUGAUGUGUAGGAUAGUUGGGAGACUUUGAAGUGGUGUCGCUAGGCAUCAUGGAGUCGUCGUUGAAAUACCAACCUUUAAACAUUUAGAAUCUAAUCCCUAACGGGAAACAGUGCAUGGUGGGUAGUUUGACUGGGGUGGUCGCCUCCUAAAGUGUAACGGAGGCUUGCAAAGGUUCCUUCAGUACGGUUGGUAAUCGUACGUAGAGCGUAUUAGUAUAAGGGAGCUUGACUGUGAGACAUACAUGUCGAGCAGGGACGAAAGUCGGCUAAAGUGAUCCGGCGGUUCUGUAUGGAAGGGCCGUCGCUCAAAGGAUAAAAGGUA
rnacentral:rRNA from 1 species